rnacentral:rRNA from 1 species
GACAGAGGAUGCAAGCGUUAUCCGGAAUGAUUGGGCGUAAAGCGUCUGUAGGUGGCUUUUUAAGUCUGCCGUCAAAUCCCAGGGCUUAACCCUGGACAGGCGGUGGAGACUACCAAGCUGGAGUACGGUAGGGGCAGAGGGAAUUUCCGGUGGAGCGGUGAAAUGCGUAGAGAUCGGAAAGAACACCAACGGCGAAAGCAACUCUGCUGGGCCGACACUGACACUGAGAGACGAAAGCUAGGGGAGCGAAUGGG